UACAGAGGUCCCAAGCGUUACUGAGAAUCACUGGGUUUAAAGGGUGCGUAGGUGGUCCGUUAAGUCAGUUGUGAAAUCCCCGGGCUCAACCCGGGAACUGCUUCUGAUACUGGCGGACUUGAGGCCAGUAGGGGUCACUAGAACUGACGGUGGAGCGGUGAAAUGCGUAGAUAUCGUCAGGAAUGCCGGUGGUGAAGACGGGUGACUGGGCUGGUUCUGACACUGAGGCACGAAAGCGUGGUGAGCGAACGGG
rnacentral:rRNA from 1 species